ACGCUCGACACCUACGGGAGCAGCAGUAGGGAAUCUUCCGCAAUGGACGAAAGUCUGACGGAGCAACGCCGCGUGAACGAUGAAGGUUUUCGGAUCGUAAAGUUCUGUUGUUAGGGAAGAACAAACUUCGUUUGAAUAAGGCGGAGUCAUGACGGUACCUAACGAGAAAGCCACGGCUAACUACGUGCAGCAGCCGCGGUAAUCUGAGCGGGCUGGCAAGGC
rnacentral:rRNA from 1 species